rnacentral:rRNA from 1 species
UCGGGAAUGUUGGGCAAUGGGCGCAAGCCUGACCCAGCGACGCCGCGUGGAGGACGAAGCCCUGCGGGGUGUAAAACUCCUUUAAGCAGGGACGAACGCAGACGGUACCUGCAGAAUAAGCCCCGGCUAACUACGUGCCAGCAGCCGCGGUAAUACGUAGGGGGCGAGCGUUGCCCGAAUUUACUGGGCGUAAAGCGCACGUAGGCGGCUCCGUAAGUCUGGUGUGAAAUCUCACGGCUCAACCGAGAGGCUGCACCAGAUACUGCGGAGCUCGAGGACGGGAGAGGAGAUUGGAAUUCCCGGUGUAGCGGUGAAAUGCAUUGAUAUCGGGAGGAACACCAGUGGCGAAGGCGGAUCUCUGGCCCGUUGCUGACGCUGAGGUGCGAAAGCUGGGGGAGCGAAAGGGAUUAGAUACCCCUGUAGUCCCAGCCCUAAACGAUGGGCGCUAGAUGUCGGGGAAUACUCCUCGGUGUCGUAGCUAACGCAUUAAGCGCCCCGCCUGGGGAGUACGGCCGCAAGGUUG